AUUGAACGCUGGCGGCAGGCCUAACACAUGCAAGUCGAACGAGUGGCGGACGGGUGAGUAAUGUCUGGGAAACUGCCCGAUGGAGGGGGAUAACUACUGGAAAGGUAGCUAAUACCGCAUACUAUUGGAGCGGCCGAUAUCGGAUUAGCUAGUUGGUGGGGUAACGGCUCACCAAGGCGACGAUCCGUAGCUGGUUUGAGAGGACGACCAGCCACACGGGAACUGAAACCAGGCCCAGACUCCGACGGUAGGCAGCAGGAGGGAAUGUGUGACAAUGGGGGAAACCCUGGUCCAGCCAUCCUGCGUGUGCGAUGAAGGCCUUCGGGUUGUAAAGCACUUUUGGCAGGAAAGCGGUACCUGCAUAAGAAGCACCGGCUAACUACGUGCCAGAAGCCGCGGUAAUUC
rnacentral:rRNA from 1 species